AACGAACGCUGGCGGCGUGCCUAACACAUGCAAGUCGAACGAAGGCCCUAGCUUGCUAGGUGUCCUUAGCGGCGAACGGGUGAGUAACACGUGGGAACCUGCCCAAGUGUGGGGAAUAACUAUGGGAAACCGUAGCUAAUACCGCAUACGCCCUACGGGGGAAAGGCUUCGGCCGCACCUGGAGGGGCCCGCGUCUGAUUAGCUUGUUGGUAGGGUAACGGCCUACCAAGGCGACGAUCAGUAGCUGGUCUGAGAGGAUGAUCAGCCACACUGGGACUGAGACACGGCCCAG
rnacentral:rRNA from 1 species